GCCUGGGCUGCAGGCCCGUGAGCGGAGCCGGGCACCGUGGGCUCUGGAGUCUGGCGGAGCGUUCACCUGCGGCGGGUCCCAUUGCGUGGCCUCCAGUGGUGUCGCCAGCCUCGGUCCUGUCUUUGUGGCGCGGAAAGGAGAGAGGCCCCUCCACUGGAGCUUUCUCAGACUCAUCACCCCGGCCUGAACCGGCACCUCGUGAGAAUAGACCCAGCGAGGUUAAAAUGGCCGCCCUUUACGCGGGAGGCUGGAAGACCCUGGUGGACAGUUCCUGAGACCCAGUCUUCAAAAGGAUACCUGCCAAUAGAACCCUCAACUUUUAGAGGAUAAAGUUUGAAAGGAAAACACAACUGUGAAGACUUCUGUGUGACCUGGAAAAUGUAUCCCCCUGAGCUUUAGUUUCCUUGUCUAUGAAAUAAAGAGAUUGGAAUAAAAGACCGUCU
rnacentral:lncRNA from 1 species